ACUCCUACGGGAGGCAGCAGUAGGGAAUCUUCCACAAUGGACGAAAGUCUGAUGGAGCAACGCCGCGUGAACGAUGAAGGCUUUCGGGUCGUAAAGUUCUGUUGUAAGGGAAGAACAAGUGCCGCAGGCAAUGGCGGCACCUUGACGGUACCUUGCGAGAAAGCCACGGCUAACUACGUGCCAGCAGCCGCGGUAAUACGUAGGUGGCAAGCGUUGUCCGGAAUUAUUGGGCGUAAAGCGCGCGCAGGCGGCCUCUUAAGUCUGAUGUGAAAGCCCCCGGCUCAACCGGGGAGGGCCAUUGGAAACUGGAGGCUUGAGUAUAGGAGAGAAGAGUGGAAUUCCACGUGUAGCGGUGAAAUGCGUAGAGAUGUGGAGGAACACCAGUGGCGAAGGCGACUCUUUGGCCUAUAACUGACGCUGAGGCGCGAAAGCGUGGGAGCAAACAGGAUUAGAUA
rnacentral:rRNA from 1 species